rnacentral:rRNA from 1 species
CACUCCUGCGGGAGGCAGCAGUGGGGAAUUUUGGACAAUGGGCGAAAGCCUGAUCCAGCAAUGCCGCGUGCAGGAUGAAGGCCUUCGGGUUGUAAACUGCUUUUGUACGGAACGAAAAAGCUCCUUCUAAUACAGGGGGCCCAUGACGGUACCGUAAGAAUAAGCACCGGCUAACUACGUGCCAGCAGCCGCGGUAAUACGUAGGGUGCGAGCGUUAAUCGGAAUUACUGGGCGUAAAGCGUGCGCAGGCGGUUAUGUAAGACAGAUGUGAAAUCCCCGGGCUCAACCUGGGAACUGCAUUUGUGACUGCAUGGCUAGAGUACGGUAGAGGGGGAUGGAAUUCCGCGUGUAGCAGUGAAAUGCGUAGAUAUGCGGAGGAACACCGAUGGCGAAGGCAAUCCCCUGGACCUGUACUGACGCUCAUGCACGAAAGCGUGGGGAGCAAACAGGAUUAGAAACCCUUGUAGUCCCAUGA